rnacentral:sRNA from 1 species
GUUGGGAAAUCAAGCAUCGUGUGUCGAUUUGUCCAGGAUCACUUUGACCACAACAUCAGCCCUACUAUUGGGGCAUCUUUUAUGACCAAAACUGUGCCUUGUGGAAAUGAACUUCACAAGUUCCUCAUCUGGGACACUGCUGGUCAGGAACGGGCCGCCAGAUCCCACCCUUGGACCCCCAUGAAAAUGGAAACAAUGGAAUAAUCAAAGUUGAGAAGCCAACCACUCAAGCCAGCCGCCGGUGCUGUUGACCCAAGGGCCGUGGUCCAUGGUACUUGAAGAAGCCAGAGCCCACAUCCUGUGCGCUGCUGAAGGACCCUACGCUCAGUGGCCUGGCACCUCACUUUGAGAAGAGUGAGCACACUGGCUUUGCAUCCUGGAAGACCUGCAGGGGGCGGGACAGGAAAUGUUCCUGAGAAGGAUUUUAGAAAACCCUGGGAAAACCCACCACACCACCACAAAAUGGCCUUUAGUGUAUGAAAUGCACAUGGAAGGGAUGUAGUUGCAUUUUUGCUUAA